CCGCACACGGGCGAGCGAAGCGGCGAGAACGAUCUCGCGCGUGCGAAAACGCUUCGGCGAGUAAGCGAAGGACGACAGCUGUGAGGCGUCGUUGAUACUCGGCGAAUUCUGUGCGAGGGAAGCGGGCAAGCGGCGAGACCGACCAAGCGGAGGAUGGCAGCCGCGAGACUUCGCCGGUACUCGGCGAAUUCGUUGAUGCGAAGGACUCCACAUCGGCCAGCAACGCGAUGUACGUGCAUGCACAACCAGCUGAUCAGGCACCAAGAGCCAUGCUACCUACGUGCAUGCCGGCCGGACCUCAUCCAAGCAGAUGUACAGGUAUGAGUUCACGUAAAAUAACAGUUUUAUGACCGGCAGUUCAGCAGAUGGAUUCGCACUAAAUUUUCUGACUUUUCCCCCAUCGAGACGUUGACAUUUUCUGGUACGUGAAUCCCUCUUGGUACCAAUUUCUGGACUUAUGUCUCCCUGGCUUAUCCUAGAAGCUUGAUAAUAGUCUAUUAUACUUCAUAUAUUUAAUGACAGCUACACUGGUCGGUUCUAAAGAAAACCUAGAAACUUAAUAUUUCUGGUACACCUAGCUUUAUUGCACAUGUUGGAUUUUUCCGAUGUGGCCAAACCCCCAAAAAAAAGGUCACUAUGUCUUUGUCUCAACAGCAUCAGGCGCAAUAUGACCCCUUUGGUGGUAGCUUGCCAAGAUCACACGCUGCUUCGUGGUUGACAGUGCCGGUUCUGAUGAGAAUACUUGUAAUAUUAUGGCAAUUGUCUUUUUUGAAAAAUUGUAAUGCACAUCAGAAACAAUCUAAUCACAAAUUCGCCAAUGAGAUAUAAUAUACCUCUUUUUGUCACCAUGUACAACAAUUAACAAUUGUUGCAUAUUAUGUUUGAUAGUAGUUUUACACACAUCUUAUUUUUGUCUGAUAUUUCUAAUUCGUACAAACCAAUGCAGAUGCACAGGUUGAGCCCACCAAGCCCAGCCUCUAGGAUUGGUUGGAGAUCCAAAUAUAUGUCUAUUCAUAUAACAUAAUUUACAUACAGGGUGAAGUCCCCAAUUGAAAAGGCUUGGUCAUAUACGCUACAAUUACAUGUUCAAGUUGUUGUUUCUAUAAUAUUAUUUCAUAACGUUCCAGUUAGUGUUUUCUGAACCCAUGCACAUACAUGAGCAUGUACACAUAUCUGGUGUGGAUGAAAUUUAAUCUGGUUAUGUAUAUGCAUGUAGCUCAGUUGCGUUGAUCAAUUUAUUGCAAGUUAA